GCGGGAUUCGUAUAUCGGCUAAUAUAUCAGUUUUCCAAACUGAGGAGACCAGUUCGACUCUGGUAUCCCGCACCA
rnacentral:tRNA from 2 species